ACGUACAGUAACCGGCUGCUCGUACGUAGCGCCGUUCGCAGCCGCUUGUAGCCCCCUCUGUCAAACGGGAAGUCCUUCUGUCAGUAGUAAAGCACUUACAAAUGAGUGUUUUGGAAUAAAAAAGAGCAUUCUUUAAGCACUUACAACUAGGUUCUGAAGAAUAGUACUUUCGGAAUAAAGGUUUUUACAAAGGAAAAUACGUAGAAAUGGAGAAGGCUAUUGGUCGCAUUCAAGAUCAUGGCUAUUCUGUACUGGAUUCCCCCAAGGCAAACCAGUCAUUUUCAAAAGUGGAUAAGCCACUGACUAAAGAACAAGAGGAAGACAAAGUGUCCAAAAAGGGCAACAGGAAAGCCAAACAAACAUCUGAAAAGCCUCCACAUCGCAGAGCUGAGGGCAGAAGCAAACAGAGAAGUAGCUCAAUAACUAUUAAGGAGAGCAAGGAUGUCAGUCUGCACACAAGGCUUGUGAAAAAGGGGGAUUAAUCCCUCUCCAAAAAGCACUGAGUCCGAGAUGGGCAUAGAAAAGGCAGCAGUGAGGACAUCCUAAGGAAGCGGUGAGGACAUCCUGAGGAUGCGGAGACAGAGCACCCUGUGUAUCAUCCACGGAGAAACUGCUUUUCCAAUGGCACUGGGAUGCAUUAGCGAUAAGGAACGUUAUCUGAUGUUUACUCUGAUUCAUCUUUUCUAUUCACUAAUGGAUUCUCUCUCCAGAGCUUUCAGUGCUUCUUCCUUCCGUAGAUACAAACACGAUAAAAAAUGCUUUAAAAAAAUCAAUAAACACUUAAGUGUUUGACA
rnacentral:lncRNA from 1 species